UCGAGGAUCUUUGGCAAUGGGCGCAAGCCUGACCAAGCGACGCCGCGUGUGCGAUGAAGGCCUUCGGGUUGUAAAGCACUGUCGAGGGGGAGUAAGACCCGAAAGGGUUUGAACUAUCCCUGGAGGAAGCACGGGCUAAGUUCGUGCCAGCAGCCGCGGUAAGACGAACCGUGCAAACGUUGUUCGGAAUCACUGGGCUUAAAGGGCGCGUAGGCGGGUUCGUAAGUCUGUGGUGAAAGCCCCCAGCUUAACUGGGGAAGUGCCAUGGAUACUGCGAGUCUUGAGGAGGGUAGGGGCAUCUGGAACACUGGGUGGAGCGGUGAAAUGCGUUGAUAUCCAGUGGAACUCCGGUGGCGAAGGCGAGGUGCUGGACCCUUUCUGACGCUGAUGCGCGAAAGCCAGGGGAGCAAACGG
rnacentral:rRNA from 1 species